rnacentral:rRNA from 1 species
AUUGAACGCUGGCGGCAGGCUUAACACAUGCAAGUCGAACGGUAGCAGGAGAAAGCUUGCUUUCUUGCUGACGAGUGGCGGACGGGUGAGUAAUGCUUGGGAAUCUGGCUUAUGGAGGGGGAUAACUACGGGAAACUGUAGCUAAUACCGCGUAGAAUCGGAAGAUGAAAGUGCGGGACCGCAAGGCCGCAUGCCAUGAGCUGAGCCCAAGUGGGAUUAGGUAGUUGGUGGGGUAAGGGCCUACCAAGCCUGCGAUCUCUAGCUGGUCUGAGAGGAUGGCCAGCCACACUGGAACUGAGACACGGUCCAGACUCCUACGGGAGGCAGCAGUGGGGAAUAUUGCGCAAUGGGGGGAACCCUGACGCAGCCAUGCCGCGUGAAUGAAGAAGGCCUUCGGGUUGUAAAGUUCUUUCGGUAUUGAGGAAGGUUGAUGUGUUAAUAGUACAUCAAAUUGACGUUAAAUACAGAAGAAGCACCGGCUAACUCCGUG